UACGUAGGGUGCAAGCGUUUGUCCGGAAUUAUUGGGCGUAAAGAGCUCGUAGGCGGUUUGUCGCGUCUGCUGUGAAAACUGGGGGCUCAACCCCCAGCCUGCAGUGGGUACGGGCAGACUUGAGUGUUUCAGGGGAGACUGGAAUUCCUGGUGUAGCGGUGAAAUGCGCAGAUAUCAGGAGGAACACCGGUGGCGAAGGCGGGUCUCUGGGAACAACUGACGCUGAGGAACGAAAGCGUGGGUAGCAAACAGG
rnacentral:rRNA from 1 species